rnacentral:lncRNA from 1 species
GUAAAACAACUCUUUCUCCUGGGCUGGCCACUUGCCCCAACACCUCUUCCACAGACUUGAGAAGCUAUUUCUGUCCUAUCACCAAAUGCCUUCGUGCAUAAGUAAUACAAAUAUGUAUUUGCUCCUGGACUCUCCAGUUUGCUCCACGGACGGAGGCGUCUGUUUCCGUGCCAUCCCCUGUUACACACAGCUUCCUGCUCACGGAAGAUGACAUUUGGGAAGGCAAGUUCGGUUCGAUGUUAGAAAAUCGAUGCGUGCAGCUCCGAGAUGAGAGGCGAGAUCCGACACACGUCAGUCAUGUCCCUCCCCCCACGUCUGGACACAUCCAGGCCCUCAGCACAGUAAGCGGGUCUCCGGCCCCUCCGACCAGGCCCCCCUGCCCUCUGGUGAGCCCACUUGCUCACUCAUGGCGCCCCCGCAACCCCGGCCUUUUCCUGCUCCUGCAGCACGAGGAGCCACUUGCUGCUCCCCCAGCUCCCUGCACCUUGGACAACCUCUUGGUCGCCCUUCAGAUCUCUGCUUCUGUGUCACUUUCCCACAGAGGCCUCCCCUGGCCACUGAGACCAAAGCGCCCCUGUGCCCUAGCCCCUGACCCCUCGCCUUCACUCGCAGCACUGAUGCCCGCAGAACCGCCGCGCUCACCCUCUUGUUUCCUCUUGGUCGUCACCCUCCGCCACCCCCAGCCCAGCCACAAGGUGAGGACUCUGAUUGUCCACCUCCACAUCCCAGUGCCUGGAACCCACAACAGGCCCUCGGUGACCCUCAGCCAGGUGGAGGAAGGACUGCACGUAAAUCGGACCCGUGGACAAAGGAUGGCCGACCCCCACUGCCUGAGUUCCCAGGGUCCUGCUGGAGGGGCAGCCGUGGGCUGGACAUCUUGCCCGCUGCAGGUGAGGAGGGGGCUUUGGGGGCCCAGGGGCCCCAAGUGCCCCCUUAGCCGGGGGAGGGAUACACGGGGGCAGCCAGCCUUGGCGGGGGUCUGCUCUGGGCGCCGGAGAAGGGAAGGAAUGUGAGCAGAUUCCUCUCAGGGCCUCUACAUCCCGCCCCAGCAGAAAACAGUGCUGCCUGCAGGGGGGAGCCUCUGCGCCUCCAGGCGACCCCGGAUCACAAGAAGAAGAGCCCCUGGGUCGUGCUGCUCUGAGAACCAGCGUUCACCUCCCUCAGGACCCUCCUUUCUCUCUUUACUACAUCCCAAGUCCACAGACUGCCGCUUUUAGAGUGGUUUUAGGUUCUCAGAGCAAUCAAGUGGGAAAUAAAUCGAUUUGUUCUUCUACCCCCA